ACGGGAGGCAGCAGUGGGGAAUAUUGCACAAUGGGGGAAACCCUGAUGCAGCGACGCCGCGUGAGUGAAGAAGUAUUUCGGUAUGUAAAGCUCUAUCAGCAGGAAAGAAAAUGACGGUACCUGACUAAGAAGCCCCGGCUAACUACGUGCCAGCAGCCGCGGUAAUACGUAGGGGGCAAGCGUUAUCCGGAUUUACUGGGUGUAAAGGGAGCGUAGACGGUAAGCAAGUCUGAAGUGAAAGCCCGGGGCUCAACCCCGGAACUGCUUUUGAAACUGUCAGGCUAGAGUACAGGAGAGGUAAGCGGAAUUCCUAGUGUAGCGGUGAAAUGCGUAGAUAUUAGGAGGAACACCAGUGGCGAAGGCGGCUUACUGGACUGACACUGACGCUGAGGCACGAAAGCGUGGGGAGCAAACAGGAUUAGAUACCCUGGUA
rnacentral:rRNA from 1 species